rnacentral:rRNA from 1 species
GACGAACGCUGGCGGCGUGCUUAACACAUGCAAGUCGAACGUGAUUUUUGUGGAAGUUCCUUCGGGAAUGGAAGCGAAAUGAAAGUGGCGAACGGGUGAGUAACACGUGAGCAACCUACCUUACACAGGGGGAUAGCCGUUGGAAACGACGAUUAAUACCGCAUGAGACCACAGAAUCGCAUGAUAUAGGGGUCAAAGAUUUAUCGGUGUAAGAAGGGCUCGCGUCUGAUUAGCUAGUUGGAAGGGUAAAGGCCUACCAAGGCGACGAUCAGUAGCCGGUCUGAGAGGAUGAACGGCCACAUUGGAACUGAGACACGGUCCAAACUCCUACGGGAGGCAGCAGUGGGGAAUAUUGCACAAUGGGGGGAACCCUGAUGCAGCGACGCCGCGUGAGCGAAGAAGGUUUUCGAAUCGUAAAGCUCUGUCCUAUGAGAAGAUAAUGACGGUAUCAUAGGA